rnacentral:rRNA from 1 species
GACGAACGCUGGCGGCGUGCUUAACACAUGCAAGUCGAACGGAAAGGCCCUGCUUUUGUGGGGUGCUCGAGUGGCGAACGGGUGAGUAACACGUGAGUAACCUGCCCUUGACUUUGGGAUAACUUCAGGAAACUGGGGCUAAUACCGGAUAGGAGCUCCUGCUGCAUGGUGGGGGUUGGAAAGUUUCGGCGGUUGGGGAUGGACUCGCGGCUUAUCAGCUUGUUGGUGGGGUAGUGGCUUACCAAGGCUUUGACGGGUAGCCGGCCUGAGAGGGUGACCGGCCACAUGGGGACUGAGAUACGGCCCAGACUCUGACGGGAGGCAGAGGGGGGGAAUAUGGCACAAUGGGCGGAGGCCGGAUGCAGCAACGCCGCGUGCGGGAGGACGGCCUUCGGGUUGUAACCGCUUUCGCCUGUGACGAAGCGUGAGUGACGGUAAUGGGUAAAGAAGCACCGGCUAACUACGUG